rnacentral:lncRNA from 1 species
GCCGCAGGCAAGGGACUAAGGGGAGGGGGGCUCAGUGCCAGCUGCUUAAAAAUGCCCCUGUGGCAGCGAGGGGCACCAGAGGCUGGGUCUAAUUAGUUGAGAAGCAGUGACACCCCCAACCACUCCCCAAACAGGCUGGCUCCCGUCUCCAGGCCCCAAGGAGCCACACCUGGACCAGACCCCAGGAAAGACAUGUGGUGGAAACCCUACGGCCCUGGAGCCCAAGGAGAGCAACGGCUGUAACAAGUGCACAGGCAAGGGCGCUAGCUGGUGGGAGCCACCCCGCCAUGCUGAUGUCAGAGAAGCAAGAACUCUGGAGAAGCAGCCUCCUGGGACCAGAGGAGGGCCAGCAGCAGGCAGCCCGGAGACAGAACUCUCACCCACGCCUCUCCAAGCCUCCCAACAGAAGACAGAGGUCCCCCACAGCCAGAGACAUUUCCUGAAGACAUGGGGAACACAGAGGCAGAAACAGCCCAUCCACCCAGGAGCUGUCCCCCACACUGCCGGGAGCCGGCACCCAGAGCCGCCAGGUAAAACUGAGGCCACCUGGUUCAACAUCACCUUUCACAGAAGGGGAAGCAGCCACAGAAAGAAGGGCCUCGUUAAGAAGUGGAACCUGGGACCCCCAAGCGGUGUCUCUCAUCCUGACUGGGGAUCCAGAGUAGGAGGGAGCCUUUGGUGGGCCCUGAAGAAAGGCUACCCAUCCCCUUCAGACAUUCCUGAAAAUAUAUGUCAUCCAACAUCAAGGCCACCACAGUGACCACUAAGCAAUGCAAGAAGGUCCUCUGGGGUGCCCUGAGAUCUUGGCAGGGCAGGAAGAGUGAGAAGGGGCUUUGCCUGCUCACCUGAAAGUUCCCACCCAAGCCGGGCCCAGAAAACAAAAUGAAUUAUCUACAUGGUCAUCCAAUCAGCCACCAAAUGGCAUUACCUAGGUCCAUCAUCAUGUACCAAGCCACAGGUCAGACCCAGGGCCCCCCAAAUUAACAAGACACAGGCACUGUCCUCAGGAAGUGGAGAUCUAGCCAGGUCAGACCCACACACAAAUAACACUGAUACUAGAGAUAAUGAGAUUGGGAAUUAUGAUUCAGCCAUUCAACCUGGGCUUAUGUGGCAUCUACACCACCUGGCCCUGAUUUCAGUAGUGAGCACAGUUGACAGGGUCCCUUCCCUUCACAGGUGAGCCAUGUAGUCCACAAGUGGAGGUGGUCGUAAGUGAAAACCACAUUACCAGCAUGGUAAAGGGUUAGAAAGAGGGCACCGGGUGGGCGAGAACAUGAAGCAGGGGGUGCUGAUGGCUAAAGAAGUAAAGGAGGGGCUGGGCACUGUGGUUCAUGCCUAUAAUCCCAGCACUUUGGGAGACCAAGGCGGGUGGAUCACCUGAGGUCAGGAGUUCUAGACCAGCCUGGGCAACGUGGUGAAACCCUGUCUCUACUAAAAAUACAAAAAUUAGCCAGGCAUGGUGGUGCACGCCUGUAGUCCCAGCUACUUGGGAGGCUGGGGCAUGAGAAUUGCUUUAACCCGGAAGGUGGAGUUUGCAGUGAGCCGAGAUCGUGUCACUGCACUCCAGCCUGGGCGACAGAGGGAGACUCUGUCUCAAAAAAAAAAAAAAGUCAAGGAGGGUUUCCCAGAGUGGCCACUUGAUUAGAGACCUAGCACAGGAGGAAGAGAUGGGCAGGGAGAGUGACGGGGAGCAGCACAGUCCCUGGGAGCCCGAAGUGGGUGGGCACAGGGCUCCCUAGGAGAAUGGAAGGACAUCUAUGAGCUGUAGCCCAAGAGGAAGAGGUCACUGGGGCUAGAUGCGGCAGACCCUCGCAGGCUUUGGGAAGGGCUUCAGAAUUCAGCCUGAGGGCAAUGGGGAGCCCUUUUGGGAUAUUAAACUUGAGUAAGAUAUGAGCAUAUUUGCAUCUUGAAAAAUCAUUAUGGGAAGAUGGCUGGGAAGAGAGGAGGAGUGGCAGAAGAAAGAUAGGUUGGAGACAAUUGAUUGCUCGAUGAUAUAAAAUGUUAAGUACCAUGAAUGAUGCUGUUAGGCUGGAAUGCGCCAAGCAUAAAGGUGGGGCAUGGCAUCAAAAGGUAGGUCAACAUAUUAAAUAAUUCCAUGUAUUGAAAUAUCCAGAAAAUAUAUAGACAGAUCUAUAGAGAUAGAAACUGGUCUGCCCAGGACUAGGGGUUGUCUAAGGAUAAGGAGCUUCUUUUUUGGAUGGUGAAAUAACCUAAAAUAUAUUGUGCCAUUGUUUGCACAACUUUGUGAAUAUAUUAAAAACCUGUUAAUUGUACUCACUAAAUGUCCUCCUUCUAAAUUAAGCUGUUCUUGACAAGAAAAGGAAAGAAACAAAGAAAAGAAGAGAAAAAAGGUCAAGGUUUGGUCCUGGGUGCUCAAAUGGCAGGCCACAGACAGGAAACACAGUUGUGAGGAAUUACAACAGCCUCCCGGCCAGAGCUGGAGAGGUGGAGCCCAGGUCCCCUCUAACACCCCUUCUCCUGGCCAGGUUGGAGUCCCGCCACAGGCCACCAGAGCGGAGCAGCGCAGCGCCCUGUCUCCCAGCCUGAGGUGCAGUGCUGCAUCUCUGGUCAGUUGGGAGUCUGAGAUGAAGCACUGUAGCUCAGGAAGAGAGAAGUUGUUCUGCAGCCAUCAGCCUGGAAGUGGUAAGUGCUGGGGGGUUGUGGGGGGCCAUAACAGGAAGGACAGAGUGUUUCCAGACUCCAUACUAUCAGCCACUUGUGAUGCUGGGGAAGUUCCUCUACACAAGUUCCCCUGGUGCCACGAUCUGCUUCACGAGUCUGGGCAUGUCCUGACUCCUCUGUGUACCCCAGUGUGUCCAUCUUAGCAUGAGGCGUUAGCAUUUCCCCAGCACCCUGCCUCUGCUUUCUCUUUCUGAGCCCAUGGCAGACACAGCUAAUCAGUAAAGGCAUAUAUUCUUUUUUUUUUGAGACACAGUCUCACUCCAUCACCCAGGCUGGAGUGCAGUGGCAUAAUCUCAGCUCACUGCAACCUCCUCCUCCCAGGGUCAAGCAAUUCUCGUGCCUCAGCCUCCCAAGUAGCUGAGAUUACAGGUGUGCGCCACCACACCUGGCUAAUUUUUGUAUUUUUAGUAGAGAUGGGGUUUCACUAUGUUGGCCAGGCUGGUCUCAAACUCCUGACUUCAGGUGAUCUGCCCGCCUCGGCCUCCCAAAGUGCUGGGAUUACAGGCAUGAGCCUCCACGCCCCGCCAGGCAUCCAUUCUUGAAGUGCUCAGAUGCAGCUUCAGAAUCCUCAACAAUGAGCCCUGGAAAGCCACUAGUACUGAUUCACAGCUGAAACUCAUUCAUCAUUUGUGGAUCAAACAAUUCCUAAAAACCCUUUCAGCCCUGAAGAUAAAAAUUCUGGCCUUUGAGUCAGGGUCUUCACUCUGUACUUCUAACCUUGGCUCCGGGGUAUUGCCGAAACCAGUCCAGGCACGUCACAAAUGUCUGACUUCUCCCAGAGGCUUCAGAAGCACAAUGAGCAGCAGAGGAGAGCCAUGGAGCCAAGCACAGUCUCAUUUAACCUCCCCAAAAGCUUGGGAAGUGGGUGGUGUUAUAGCCCCAUUUUACAGAUGAGAAAAACUGAGGCUUAUUUAAGCAGCUCACCUAAAGUCACAUAUUGAUUGUGCUGAGCUGAGAUUGUACCCUAAUCUGCCUUCAAAUCCAUGUUUUUACCCAUUGCAUGUGAUUAUGGAACCUGGGACCGAGGAGCAGGAGGAGAACAUUCUAAAUUCUGCUCCCAUCUUGUCUUUACAUCUCAGGUCACUUUUAGCAAAGACAGACCCGGACACUUGCCAUUAAUACUACAGGCUUCCUUCCUCCUACCCCCUUCCCCCAAUCUUAUUCAUCUCACCUCUCCAGUAGGUCGUGGACUCAUGCAUUUUAUAAUUAAAGAAGGCCAAGGCUCAGGGGUUAAGUGACUUACUGGAGGUUAUCAGAGAGGAAGUUGCCAAACCCAGGCUAGGAACUGAAUGGUUGGUUUAAAUCCACCCCUCUGGCAGGAGACUGGGGAAUACACAUGAGCCGUGCAGACAGCAGAGGGCAGUCCUGGGGGUGGGGGCGCCAGAGGGUUUCCGGUACUUUUCAGGGCAAUUGAAGUUCCGGUCACUACUCCCCCCCAGAGCAAUAAGCCACAUCCGGCGACGUGUGGCACCCCACCCUGGCUGCUACAGAUGGGGCUGGAUGCAGAAGAGAACUCCAGCUGGUCCUUAGGGACACGGCGGCCUUGGCGCUGAAGGCCACUCGCUCCCACCUUGUCCUCACGGUCCAGUUUUCCCAGGAAUCCCUUAGAUGCUAAGAUGGGGAUUCCUGGAAAUACUGUUCUUGAGGUCAUGGUUUCACAGCUGGAUUUGCCUCCUUCCCACCCCACAGUUGCCCCCCAAUGGGGCCUCGGCUGGCUCACAGGAUGAGGGUUCAAGAAGAAGGCUGUCCCUGGAGGUAAGAGGGCUUAUGAACCAUGUUCCAAACCUUUGCGUUGCUUUUCUUUCCAUCGUGUCUAUUUCAUAACAUCCCUGUGAGGCUGGAUGUGGGAACUUCAGCACUGCCGUACUCUUGGGAAAUUUGUCCAAGGCCACCCGGCUGAGCAGCGGUUGAACCAGGACACCAUCAGGCAUGCGUUUCUUGUCUCCACCACACCCUCAACCCACUUCCCAACGCGCCUUGCGACAGGGGCUGCGGUAUUGCAUCCACAUGACUGAUAAACUAGUAAACACACAUGAAUUCAUUUUAAAAGUGUAUUCAAUCAGUUAGGUAAACUAAAAACCUUAAGUCUUCGUUCGAUUUGGAAUGCAGCCAGAGAACAAAUGGAAAAUUUUUCAAGGUAGAGAAGAUGAAAACUCAGAACGCCCUCUUGUGGCAUCUCUACCCACCCUAGGAACACUAUGGCUCUUCCCCUACACAUGGUGAUUGCUAACCUUGCUACAAGACGUUGGACACACACACACACACACACACACACACACACACACUGAGGUUCCUUUUGCCCCCUCACUUUUGAGCCAGUGACUACUGAAACCCUCUCCAUUGUUGCACCACCAGCAAUGCCCCCAUCACUUCCUCUCAUUUACUUCCACAGGCUGGUUCAUCCUCAAAGCCCUCCUUACGUAGAUCUGUGGGAUCAGUGAGGCUCAGAGAGGUAAAGUGGCCAGCCCAAGGUCGCCCAGACAGCAAAAGGCAGGGCCAGCGCUGAUUUCAAGUCCAAUGGCCUAUGGCAAUUUCUUAGCCAAAAGCAAAAUCUACAAAAAUAAAAAGUCAGGCACAGUGGUGAGUGCCUACAGUCCCAGCUACUGAGGAGGCCGACGGGGGAGGACCACUUGAGCUUGGGAGUUCCUGGCUGCAGAGAGCUAUGAUUGUGCCUGUGAAUAGCCAAUGCACUCCAGCCUGAGCAAGAUAGGGAGACCCUGUCUCUAAAAAAUACCUAAAUAAUUUUAAAAGUCAGCCUCUCUGACUGCCUAUAGAGAAUGCUAACUAACUGAAUGACAGAAGACCUAAUGUAAUCCAGGUGCAAAAUCAGAACUUUCCGGCCGGGCGCGGUGGCUCACACCUGUAAUCCCAACACUUUGGGAGGCCCAGGCGGGUGGAUCACGAGGUCAGGAGUUCAAGACCGGCCUGCCCAACAUGGCAAAACCCCGUCUCUACUAAAAAUACAAAAAAUUAGCUGGGCAUGGUGGUGGCCACCUAUAAUCUCAGCUACUCAGGAGGCUGAGGCAGGAGAAUUGCUUGGACCCGGGAGGCAGAGGUUGCAGUGAGCUGAGAUCGCGCCACUGCACUCCAGCGUGGGGGACAAAAGCGAAACUCUGUCUCAAAAAAAAAAAAAUUAGAACUUUCCCCGUACUCUUGCUAGGGCUUUUCAUGGAGAUGUAGAAAUGGUAGUAAGUGCCAAGGCCCCAGAACCCUCAUGUUUGGGUCCGACUCCCACAUUGCCAGAGACUAGGCAGCUCACACAGGUGUCCCAAGCUGUCUUUCUCACAGGCCGCAUUGAAGGCAUUUAUGAAAUGAGACCCCCUCUUCCUCAUCCGUAGUGACAGGGCUGGCCUGACCGUGGAGAAAUCAGAUUUGAUCAUGAUAGCUUCCACUCCGUGACUGGUCACGAUCUGCCAGGCGCUGUGCUAAACACUUUCAUAGGCCUUGUCCCCCUCCAUCCUGAUAACACCCCAGUGAAGCAGGCCCUGCUCUUCACUCCACUCCACAAAGCCAAGGCUGAGAGAGGUUAACAGACUUACCUAAGGUCACACAGCUAAGAAGUCGUGAAGCUGGGAUCGAAUCAAGUCUGUGUUUAUGGGUUUAACUAUCAUGUUGUGGCCCCAACCCCAUUUGACCUAGCCUGGCUGGUGGGCCUUCUUGCAGUAGCUUCCCCUGGAGAAGAGGAAAAGCAAACCUUCAUUGAGACCCAAGCGGUCUCUCCUGUGCUCUGUGACAAUAAUAAAGUUCCAGCCCUUGGCUCCUGUCCUGUUUCUUUCUGGGAAUUUGGGGAAGGGGGGAGGUGGCGAAGGCAGGGAAAGAACCUGACAGGCCCAGCUGAACACCCCCAAGUGGCUCCACACAGCCACUUUGG